GAUAGGAAGCCAUCCGAGUUGUAUCCAAAUCCGAGGUCUGCACUUCCCUAUGACAGGAUAACACCAAGCAGAAAGAGACCAAUGCCAAGACCUGAUUUGACAAAAGUACAAAACGAAGAAUUCUGGACAUCGUGGACGAAAACGAUAACAUCGAAAUGGAGAGCAUUGUGGUGCCAUCUGAAGUGCAAUUAGACAUGCAGAAAGAUGACAAUUUGCUUAUGAAAGAAACACAACCUUUAGACCUACUGGCUCUGGCUGCUGAAAACAGAAGAUUAGACCAGGAGCAUGCCAAACUUAUAUCAAACAACGCACGUUUAAGUGAGGGUUAUU